ACGAACGCUGGCGGCAUGCCUAACACAUGCAAGUCGAACGAGACCUUCGGGUCUAGUGGCGCACGGGUGCGUAACGCGUGGGAACCUGCCUUUGGGUUCGGAAUAACUCAGAGAAAUUUGAGCUAAUACCGGAUGAUGUCUUCGGACCAAAGAUUUAUCGCCUUUAGAUGGGCCCGCGUUGGAUUAGCUAGUUGGUGGGGUAAAGGCCUACCAAGGCGACGAUCCAUAGCUGGUCUGAGAGGAUGAUCAGCCACACUGGGACUGAGACACGGCCCAGACUCCUACGGGAGGCAGCAGUGGGGAAUAUUGGACAAUGGGCGAAAGCCUGAUCCAGCAAUGCCGCGUGAGUGAUGAAGGCCUUAGGGUUGUAAAGCUCUUUUACCCGAGAUGAUAAUGACAGUAUCGGGAGAAUAAGCUCCGGCUAACUCCGUG
rnacentral:rRNA from 1 species